rnacentral:rRNA from 1 species
AGUGAACGCUGGCGGUAGGCCUAACACAUGCAAGUCGAACGGCAGCACAGUAAGAGCUUGCUCUUACGGGUGGCGAGUGGCGGACGGGUGAGGAAUACAUCGGAAUCUACUUUUUCGUGGGGGAUAACGUAGGGAAACUUACGCUACUACCGCAUACGACCUACGGGUGAAAGCAGGGGAUCUUCGGACCUUGCGCGAUAGAAUGAGCCGAUGUCGGAUUAGCUAGUUGGCGAGGUAAAGGCACACCAAGGCGACGAUCCGUAGCUGGUCUGAGAGGAUGAUCAGCCACACUGGAACUGAGACACGGUCCAGACUCCUACGGGAGGCAGCAGUGGGGAAUAUUGGACAAUGGGCGCAAGCCUGAUCCAGCCAUACCGCGUGGGUGAAGAAGGCCUUCGGGUUGUAAAGCCCUUUUGUUGGGAAAGAAAAGCAGCAGGUUAAUACCCCGCUGUUCUGACGGUACCCAAAGAAUAAGCACCGGCUAACUUCGUG